rnacentral:rRNA from 1 species
CUUGCACAGAUGACGACCGGCGCACGGGUGCGUAACGCGUAUAGAACCUACCUUUUACAGAGGGAUAGCCUUUAGAAAUGAAGAUUAAUACCUCAUAGUAUUGCGAUUUGGCAUCAAGUUGUAAUUAAAGAUUUAUCGGUAAAAGAUGGCUAUGCGUCCUAUUAGUUAGUUGGUAAGGUAACGGCUUACCAAGACAUCGAUAGGUAGGGGUCCUGAGAGGGAGAUCCCCCACACUGGUACUGAGACACGGACCAGACUCCUACGGGAGGCAGCAGUGAGGAAUAUUGGACAAUGGAGGGAACUCUGAUCCAGCCAUGCCGCGUGCAGGAAGACUGCCCUAUGGGUUGUAAACUGCUUUUAUACAGGAAGAAACACUAGUACGUGUACUAGCUUGACGGUACUGUAAGAAUAAGGACCGGCUAACUCCGUGCCAGCAGCCGCGGUAAUACGGAGGGUCCGAGCGUUAUCCGGAAUCAUUGGGUUUAAAGGGUCCGCAGGCGGUCGAUUAAGUCAGAGGUGAAAUCCCAUAGCUUAACUAUGGAACUGCCUUUGAUACUGGUUGACUUGAGUCAUAUGGAAGUAGAUAGAAUGUGUAGUGUAGCGGUGAAAUGCAUAGAUAUUACACAGAAUACCGAUUGCGAAGGCAGUCUACUACGUAUGUACUGACGCUCAUGGACGAAAGCGUGGGGAGCGAACAGGAUUAGAUACCCUGGUAGUCCACGCCGUAAACGAUGGACACUAGUUGUUGGGAUUUAUCUCAGUGACU